AGAGUUUGAUCCUGGCUCAGAAUGAACGCUGGCGGCGUGCUUAACACAUGCAAGUCGCACGAGAAAGCCUUGGCUUGCCAGGGCGAGUAAAGUGGCGCACGGGUGAGUAACGCGUGGGUAAUCUACCCUUGAAUCGGGGAUAACCCUUCGAAAGGAGGGCUAACACCGGAUAAUAUCGGUUUAUUUUUGGAUAUACCGAUCAAAUGUGGCCUCUACAAGUAAGCUACUGUUUGAGGAUGAGCCCGCGUACCAUUAGCUAGUUGGCAGGGUAAAGGCCUACCAAGGCGACGAUGGUUAGCUGGUCUGAGAGGAUGAUCAGCCACACUGGAACUGACACACGGUCCAGACUCCUACGGGAGGCAGCAGUGAGGAAUUUUGCGCAAUGGGGGAAACCCUGACGCAGCAACGCCGCGUGAGUGAUGAAGGCUUUCGGGUCGUAAAGCUCUGUCAAGUGGGAAGAACCUACUUAUGGUUAAUACCCAUGAGUACUGACGGUACCACUGAAGGAAGCACCGGCUAACUCCGUGCCAGCAGCCGCGGUAAUACGGAGGGUGCAAGCGUUGUUCGGAAUUACUGGGCGUAAAGCGCGCGUAGGCGGUUUGCUAAGUCAGAUGUGAAAGCCCAUGGCUCAACCAUGGACGUGCAUUUGAAACUGGCAGACUUGAGUAUUGGAGGGGGUGGUGGAAUUCCCGGUGUAGAGGUGAAAUUCGUAGAUAUCGGGAGGAAUACCGGUGGCGAAGGCGACCACCUGGCCAAAUACUGACGCUGAGGUGCGAAAGCGUGGGGAGCAAACAGGAUUAGAUACCCUGGUAGUCC
rnacentral:rRNA from 1 species